CCUACGGGUGGCAGCAGUGGGGGAUAUUGCACAAUGGGGGGAACCCUGAUGCAGCGACGCCGCUUGUGGGAAGACGGUCCUCUGGAUUGUAAACCACUGUCCCCAGGGACGAAAAUGACGGUACCUGGGGAGGAAGCUCCGGCUAACUACGUGCCAGCAGCCGCGGUAAUACGUAGGGAGCGAGCGUUGUCCGGAAUUACUGGGUGUAAAGGGAGCGUAGGCGGGGAUGCAAGUUGGGUGUCAAAACUACCGGCUCAACUGGUAGUCGCACUCGAGACUGGAGCUCUUGAGUGAAGUAGAGGCAGGCGGAAUUCCUAGUGAAGCGGUGAAAUGCGUAGAUAUUAGGAGGAACACCAGUGGCGAAGGCGGCCUGCUGGGCUUUUACUGACGCUGAGGCUCGAAAGUGUGGGGAGCAAACAGGAUUAGAUACCCCAGUAGUC
rnacentral:rRNA from 1 species